AUUUCUCCGCGAUACCUUAUUCGGAAAGUAGAGCUGAGGGAACAGUCAGAGUUAGGGAGCCAGCGGUAUAUGUGGUGAGCAUGCCCCAAAAUCCCUGAACGGAUGGAGGGGAAGCCUAAGCAUAUACCAAGGCACCCACUUAGGAAUGAGCCUCAGAUGCUCACUAAUACCGAGAGGUAUCGCGGGGAUAUU
rnacentral:other from 1 species